GUCAACGUGGGUAGUUAUAGAAGUUGAAGUAGAAGUAUAGACACAGAACAGAAGCAUAAGCAAAAGUUUUCAAGCAAAGUCACAGUAGAUAAGAGCUAUAAAUUAACCGUGAAAUCGGCGAGAGAACUCCCGUAGCGCAAUGCUCACUCCUUUCGAACGAUUGUCAACCGAUAAAUAAGUCUUAUAAGAAGAUUUUUGUUCUUUAUAUCACUGGUGAAUCAAAUGAAGUGUAUGAACGGCGACAUAUUAUUACACUAGAGACUCAGUACUCGCAGGUAAUAUUUCAGUGAAAUUACAUAAAUAAAAAAUAUAUUGCAAUACUUUAGCCAUCUAGAAAUCAUGUCCCGCAGAGGCAGAUACGGUAAGAAACGAUACUCUUUCACAGGGCGAUUAUGAGUUAGCUAGCUCUGAAAUGAGGUGUACGCCGACGUCUUUCUGCUGGUAUUCAGUGUUUUUAAUCGGAUUUACUUGCGCAGCAUCGUAAAGUCUGAUGGCAGACGUGAUGCCAGGAAAUCGCCGACAAAUUUUUUUAUUUCUUUCCUCCGCACUUGGCAUUUAGAUUUUUAAAAGAUUAUACUUUUAGAUUAUAUCGUCGUAAAGGUAUGUAGCAUGUGUCUCGGCACUUGUAUCGAGCUAAUUAUUUCCAUUGCGGCGUAGUUGAAACGGAUUUACAUCAAAUGAAAUCACGAUUAGAUUUUAUAUACAAUUCGUUUUGCACUACCAGUGUAGAUUUAUAUAUGUUAUUGUUUCUGUUUGUUAUCAAAAACGUUCUACUGAAUUUAUUUGACGUACAUAUGAGUUGAUUUAUUAUUAUUUUUGGAUAAAAAUGUAUUUUCCUUUUUUUUCAACUCCAAUAAAA